rnacentral:rRNA from 1 species
UAUAAGACUGGGAUAACUUCGGGAAACCGGAGCUAAUGCCGGAUAACAUUUGGAACCGCAUGGUUCUAAAGUAAAAGAUGGUUUUGCUAUCACUUAUAGAUGGACCCGCGCCGUAUUAGCUAGUUGGUAAGGUAACGGCUUACCAAGGCAACGAUACGUAGCCGACCUGAGAGGGUGAUCGGCCACACUGGAACUGAGACACGGUCCAGACUCCUACGGGAGGCAGCAGUAGGGAAUCUUCCGCAAUGGGCGAAAGCCUGACGGAGCAACGUCGCGUGAGUGAUGAAGGUCUUCGGAUCGUAAAACUCUGUUAUUAGGGAAGAACAAAUGUGUAAGUAACUGUGCACGUCUUGACGGUACCUAAUCAGAAAGCCACGGCUAACUACGUGCCAGCAGCCGCGGUAAUACGUAGGUGGCAAGCGUUAUCCGGAAUUAUUGGGCGUAAAGCGCGCGUAGGCGGUUUCUUAAGUCUGAUGUGAAAGCCCACGGCUCAACCGUGGAGGGUCAUUGGAAACUGGGAAACUUGAGUGCAGAAGAGGAAAGUGGAAUUCCAUGUGUAGCGGUGAAAUGCGCAGAGAUAUGGAUGAACACCAGUGGCGAAGGCGACUUUCUGGUCUGUAACUGACGCUGAUGUGCGAAAGCGUGGGGAUCAAACAGGAUUAGAUACCCUGGUAGUCCACGCCGUAAACGAUGAGUGCUAAGUGUUAGGGGGUUUCCGCCCCUUAGUGCUGCAGCUAACGCAUUAAGCACUCCGCCUGGGGAGUACGACCGCAAGGUUGAAACUCAAG